GCGAGCGGCUUGUUUCAGACGUCUGCCCUUUUCCGUUCUGUUCGGAGGCUGGGAAGCAGAUGCGGGAGCAAUGCAGCUUGCACUGUGUUCCGUGUGGACAGGAGUCUAGGGGAGCUCAGCCACGGCCUGUCAGGGGCCUAGGCUUUCUGCGAGGUCUGCGCUCUCUGAACGGGACCGAGUGUAGCUCACGGUGGAAAAACGCAGCAAGGGCUCCUGACAAGUGUUGCGGCUCCUCUCGCCAGUGAGGCUGUGGACCACUGCAGCUGGAGGAAGAGGCCGUGGGCCCAGAAAUGCAGGCGCCUCCAGAAGCUGGAAAAGACCAGAAAACAGCCGUCCCCCGGGCCUCCAGAAGGAACACGGCCCAGUGACUCCAGUCUCAGCAGACGUCCAAAACUAGCCUCGGGAGCCCCGAGACACAGCGUGCAGGACGAGGGAAGAGAGUGAUCGGCCGUCGGCCCCCCAGAGGCCCGCGCCUAACUGCCGAGCCAGCAGAGCCGCGCGUCGGACCCCCGGAACUGAGCACUGGUGCUAGAAGACAACGGACCAACAACCCGGAAAGUACGAGUAUACAUUACGAAAUGAUUCCCACGACCAGGUUAGUUACCGUAUCCAUCACAUCACAUAAUUACGAUGGUGUUUGGCGGGGACGGUGAGAACAUUCAAGAUCUACUCUCGUAGCAACUUUCAAGUAUAUAAUAUGAUGUUGUUAACUACAGUCACCAUGUUCAACACAAGAUCCCCAGAACGUAGCCAUGCCAUCAUUGGAAGUUUGUGCCCUUUGACCAAUGGGUCUGCCCAUUUCCCCCACCCCCAGCCC